ensembl:lncRNA
GUUUACACAAGUAUAGGCUGUUUUGGUUUUCGUUAAGUACUUUGUUUUGUAGUGUUUGUUAUUGAUUCGUGUUUUACGUUCGUUCAUUAAACAUGGAUCGCAAUCUACACGCUGCAUUUUGGUCCGACUCUCCUUCACACCUAGAAAACCGUAACACCAUGACACUUUUGUAAGGCACCUACGGAAGGCCCAGCCCAGUGGUUCUGGGGGAACCAAUCAGAAAGAAUGGAAAUACAUGAAAAUAUUAUCAUUCUUGAUACCUUACGGCCAGCCAAGAAGCUCAAGAGGCAACCACAGCCUUGAAAAUGCUGAUUCGCCUCAGCCACAACCUACGGAACCCAAUGACGCUGAAGGCGAUGUGGUGUCCCUGAGCCAUGACCCUGUGCUUCAGAUGACUGAACAACAGUCAAGACCAACCACUACAGGCACAGCUCAAGACUGGCAGCCAAGAAAAAGAAAACAAAGUCAACUAUCAAGAUGUGGAUGAAGAGCUGCUUGCAUUUGUCAGGAAGCCAAUCCCUUCUGCUGUUACCUCAGAGGAUGAGGCAUUUGUACACAGCCUUGUACCAGAGCUGAAGAAAAUGGGGAGAAACAAGGGACGUCUGAAAGUGCAAUUACUCUCAUUGAUUGUAAACUGGGGUGAUCAGUAUGCAACACCUCUGCUACCACCUCCACCACCACAAUGGCUCUUUGAUGCUCCACAUGGAAGAGCUGGAUUGCGGCCUAUGAUGUACAGCCAGCCCAGGCAUCAAUACUCCUACUCACCAGGAUCUAGGUCUCCAACACAUAACUGGGAUGACCAGCAGGCAACACCACUGCCACCACCACGGCCCUCAAGUACUCCGCACGGAAGAGUUGGACUGCAGCCAAUCAUGUACAAUGAGGCCAGGGAUCAAUACUUACCAGAACCUAGGUCUCCAACAUAUAGCUGGGAUGACAUUACAUUCAGUACAUUCUCUCAAGAGAGCUAGGACAGAGACUCCCAGCCAAAUCAAUAAUCACCUCCGAAAAGGCAGAACCCAGCCCUGCGCAUACUUAGGCCCAUGUUCUGUUUUAGUGUUUUAAAAAGGGAAACAUUUAUGUAUGCACUAUUUGCACUUUGUUGCAGUUAUAUAUGCAUUGCACCUUGCAUUUAACUUUUUAAAUUGUUUUUUUUGUUGCUAUUCAGUGGAUAUUGUUAUUGGGAGGGAUAUGCCGUAUUUGUUUACAUGCCUUGGUGUGACUGUUAAUGUCACCUACAUGUUCACCAUGCCUUGAUGUGACUGUUAAUGUCACCUACAACAGGUGCACCAUGCCAUGUUGUGACUGUUAAUGUCACCUAAAACAGGUGCACCAUGCCAUGUUGUGACUGUUUAUGUCACCUUGAAUAAUAAUAAAAAAAGAC